CGCACCGCUUCCCGCUGUGCUCGGCGCCCCCCGGGCCGGAGCGAGGCUGCGCGGCGGCCAUUGGCUGCGGGCGGCUCCUCCCCGCGCCUCGGGCAGCUCGGGGCCGUGCGGGGACGGCCGUGCGGGGACGGCGAGCCCCGGGCCCCGCGCCGCCCGUGUGCGGGCCGUGCGAUCGCCGCUAACGGCCGGCCCCGCUCGGUGCGUUGCAGCCGGGAGCGCCUGGCACCGCGCUGACCGUCCGCCCGUGGAGCCGGCAGCGGAGGGCGAGCGGCGGCACGACGAGGACCGGGACGACGACGACGACGACGACGAGGACGAGGACGACGACGAGCGGAGCCUGCGGACGGCCCUCAAGAAGCUGCGGCUGGACGCGGCGCGGCGGCACGAGGACGAGGAGGAGCAGCAGCAGCAGCAGCAGGACGACGACGACGAGGACGAGGAGGAGCGCAGCCUGCGGACGGCCCUCCAGGAGCUGCGGGUGGACGCGGCGCGAUGCAUCGCGGCUCAGCCUGCGGGCGACGGGACGGUUCUCGCAGCGCCGGGGAGAAGAGCUGCAGAUGGAGCCCAGCAACCGUCCGUCUGCCGCCGGGAAGCACGGCAUGGGUGUGAGAGGACUGCAGGAGGACCGGCCAGUCUCUCACAACACGGACGUUCCAGGUCUGCUGUCCUGUAUCCUCCCACGUUUACGCACUGCAGCACAAAACACAAAACCCGGUCACACACACCAAAGACUCACGUCCGUUCCAGUGUUUGUGCUACAGCAGAACACGGCACAGAGGACAGACACAGUCCUCACUUUGAGGCCAGCCAUGGCAGAAGAGCCACAGCUGAACCUCUGCUGAACCACCGCUGCGGGGCCUGUGGGGAAGUCACGGGAGAACUGCCUCGCUCUGCCCUCAUCGUCUCACUCUGACUCACACAACAGCCAAACCUCACUUUUCCUUUCCUUAUCCACGCUUAACAGAUCCAUCUGUGAAACAGCCCUGUGCAGCCCUCCCGCAUCCCGUUCUGUGGAGGCUCACAUGUAUGUCAGUGACGUGACUGUGGAAGACCUGGCAGGGUACCUGGAACACCAUCUGCAUAUACCAAAGAAAAUGUCUGCCAUGGCAGAAAUGAUGUACUCAUAACCAAACAUCAAAAACAGUCACAAUUCUAAGCACUAUCAGAAAUUUAAAUGGCUCGUUUGUGCCAUAUUUGCACUGUUCUGUGUUUAAUCAAAUGUUUUAUUACAUGGUACAGUUUAGUUUUGUAAUUAAGAGAAAAACUGUACAUAGUUGCAUAGACUCCUGUGGCUGAAAUGAUGUAUACUUAACUGAAAGCCAUAUUCAGUCACAUAGUAAUACAGUUUAUUUUUGUAACUUGAAUAAAAACUGUAUAUAGUCU
ensembl:lncRNA